CCAACUCAUCUCCCUCAAUCAUCACUUCACUAUCUUCAGAGACACCUUCAUAACUCUAGCGCCGCCCUAGUGUUCUUCGGUGGCGGCGCCGUAUCUAAACCUUUAUAUGAGGUAUUUUUUCUUUUCUUUUGCAUAUAUUUUCUUCAUUUUUCUUCUCAUUGUCUUCUCCUCUUCCUGAUUCUUUUCUUAUACUAUUUUCUAGCCAUUUUAUUAUGCAAGUUAGUUUUAAAUCUUUUUCUUUAAUUAGUACAUUUAGUCAGUUAAUUAGUUUAGUUUCGAUUUGUUAAUUUAGUUAAUUCUAGUUUAUUAGUUAGUCAGUAAAUUAGGUAGAUGUUGGUUUUGAAAUUAUCUGAAUUGCCUUGUUUUUGCUUUUUCAUUAAACAAUCGAUUUCUGAUUUUUGUUUGGGCCCUGGGUUCCAUUUGUACCCAUUUUUAAAGUGCAGCCCAUUCAAUUUGGUUUAUGUUAUUGGGUUAAUUUGACCCAUAAGUUUUUAGAAGUAAUUUUUAGGGUCUGAAUGAGUUGUCUAUUGAUUUUAGUUUAGGGAAUCUUCAGUAACUAAUUUAGGAAGCUUCCAAGCUAUCUUUGGGACUAAAUUGAAAAACGGAUUUUCAAGCUAUGGAUUGAACAACAAAAAUGAAACGUUCAAAAGGAUUUAAUGUGCAAAACUGAAAUCAUUUUUUGCUGCCCUAAGGCUUGCCUAUAAAGACAUUCUUUCUUCACUCGCAAGUCAGAAUUUAGAGAAUAAAAAAAUCCUAAUAAACUAAAAUUGCUAUGUAUUUGUAAAACUUUGGAAAGAAUACUGAAAAAUUCUUCCAUUUCCUUAGUAUAAGCUGGUUAAAUUCUACCCUAGAACUGAUUAGAUAAUCAGAGUCUUGAGACUCAAAAAGUUGAUUGUUCAUCUGGGGUUUUUACUGGUUGGGAGAAGGCUGAAUCUGUUUGGUAUUGCUGGGUUUGUACAACCUAAUUUUGCUCCAGUGUCUACUGAUUCUUCACUUCUUUUGUUUCCUUUUUGACUUCUAGGUAUCACUAUGCACUUUGAUUAAUCUAUGAAGUGUGAAUAUGCAAUGGAAAAUGGACAUAUAAUGGAAGAUUCGUGUUACUAGACUUUUGAUCCUCUAUCGUUUCUUUCAUUCAUGUGUUGUAUUAGUUUAACUCUGUGAGAGUCCUAUUAGUUAUUUAUGUAGUGUAAGGUGUGUAUAGUUGAUCUUUUGUUUGAUUAUGUUGAAAUUUCCGAUUGCUGAACUCUAGAAUAGUUAACAUGCCAAGUUUUUUGUUCAUUGCUUGUAUUGAAGUUUUGAUUUAAGGCUUAAAGCUCAUCAUGGUUUUUUAUAAUUUGGUAUGGAAGUUUGAUUCAAAUAAAGACACUGGAUAACGCUACCUGCUUUUGAAUUCAUAAAAAAUAAAUUUUCCUAGGCAUGUGAUUUGGUCAUAUAGCCUUUAAAGUCUAUUGUUCAUGUUAUAUUUAUCAUGCCUCGUGUUUAGUCAGUGGGGUUCAAGUGGUCUCUUCAAAAGUUGUAAGUGUUCAAAUAAAUGGUGUCUUGAAUUUUCUGCAUUUUAUAUUUCAAUUAGCCCGUGAUUGUUUCUUGCUUACAUUACUGAAUGCCAUUUAAGUUUGGAUCCAAGAAUGUUUGUUUAGAGCCCAAAGUUUCUAGAGCCCAAAUUGGUUUGGCUACGCAGAAAUU
rnacentral:lncRNA from 1 species